UACGGAGGGACUAGCGUUGUUCGGAAUUACUGGGUGUAAAGGUGCGCAGGCGGUCUUGUGCGUCAGAAGUGAAAUAUCACGGCUUAACCGUGAGGGGGGUGCUUUUUUGAAAAAACGCGAGACUUGAGUACGGGGGAGAAGGGGAUCAUGAAUUCCUGUGUAGCAGUGAAAAAUGCGUAGAUAUCAGGGGAGGGGAAAACACCCCGGGGUGGGGCAAAAGGGGCGGGGUCAUCUGGGGCCCCGGGGU
rnacentral:rRNA from 1 species